CAAGAGCACUGGAGUGGGGUGCCAUUGCCUUCUCUGAAACAGUCCUUAGUAGCUCCCAAAGGAAGCCUUGCUGUAAAGUAGGACUUAAGUGGAGGGAGAUGCCCUGCCUUAGAGAAGAGGUGCCCAUACAUCCAGGACCAGGGCCACCAAGCUUGUUGAUGUCCUUUUCCUCUAGGUGCAGUCUCCUCUCAACCGCUGGAAAAGCAACCCCUCUCCCUGCUGUUCCUCCACAUCCCUGGAGCAUCAUCCCGAUCUGCAUCUCUCUGGAUCACACAGGACUUGACGCCGCGUCCCGCACACUCGAUGAGGACCUGGGGACGAUCCACCGAGAGGAGCUGCACCUUCUUCAUUUCUCGGACUCCCCAGAAGAGAACCUGAGGAGAAAACGGACAUAUUCUAGCUGGCAACAGCAGAUGCGGUUCAGUUAAUUAGAAAGAAGCCCGGAAAAAGAAGACAGCAGGCACUGGGAAUGCCAAAUAGACUCAAGAUAAUGAAGCUGCAGAAUGAGCCAGACCAGAAAAAGAAGCUUGGAAAAGAUGAGGUGAACACUGCCUGGUGAUGAGCUAUCCAGGCUGCAACACAUCACCUCUCUGAGAAAGCUGAUUGCUCCGGUGGUUCCAAAGAUAAAGCCACAGACCAGCUGUGGUGGUGGCAGGGGAUGGUGCUGCUCCACGCGCUUUAAAAAGUACCACGUGUCUGCUCAUCUUGGGGCUGCUGCGGUGUCAGCCCGGGAAAUGCCCUAAACAAGCUCAUUCCAGAAGCGCCUCAAAGAUGCCCUUAAGAGUUUAAGCUGCCCUGCUGGCUCAGAUAGUAAAGAAACCGCCUGCAAUGCAGGACACACAGUUUCGAUGCCUGGGUCGGGAAGAUCCCCUGGAAAAGGGAAUGGCAACCCACUCCAGUAUUUUUGCCUGGAGAAUCCCAUGGACAUAGGAGCCUGGUGGGCUACAGUCCAUGGGGUCACAAAGAGUCAGACAUGAUUGAGCAACUAAAACUCUGAAGGAUCCCACAGCAUGGUGGAGGUUGAGCGAUUUUGCUCCCAGCUUUUUCAGAGUGAAAUGGGUUGGCUGCAGGCCUAUAAAACCACAUAGUGUAUGGUUACUCAGUAGGGUAUGAUAAGGAAUUGUUAUGAAGGCAAAGUGUGAAGGAUCAGGAUAAGCUGGUCCAAAAGCCUGACUGCUUUAAUAUCCCAGGACAUAUCUAACCUAACCGAACCUCGAAGGAGUUCCAGGGGCAGGACAGGACGGGGGACCCAGGCACAGACUUUAAGGGGAUGCCACACUUGGAGUCGUGUAGGACCCUAGUCUCAGUUCCAGUCCAUCUGAAAAAUCACUGAUGCUCAGAAGCCUUGUUCCUUUCUCUGUCUCCCCCAGCCCAUCAUCCACACCUCCAUUACCCCUCAUUCAGUAUAAUAGGUGGAUACCAGUUUUGUGCUUCAUCACUUAUUAGCUGUGGAAUUUGAAAUAGUCACACAGUGUCACUGAGUCUCAGUUCUGUUAUAUGUAAAGAUAAUGAUAUCUGAUUCAUGAAUUGCUGUGAAGAAUGGAUGAGGCAGUAUGCAAAGCGCUUGGCAACACUUCCUGGCACAUAGUAAGUUCCCUAGGAAUAAGAGUAAACUGGAAAUUGACAGACCUGUGCAACAAUUAAGGCUCAACUUUCACUCAUCUUAGUCUCCAAUGCGACACAGGUGCUCAAGGACUGCUAGUUCCUGAAACUAUCCCAGAAGCAUAUUUAAAUCCCCUUUCAGGUCUUGACUUAAAUGCCACUUCCUCAGGGAGCCUUCCCUGGAUGCCUAAAGUGUUAACUCUGCCCCCUCCCACAACACCCACACCUGCUUCGUAUUUCACGUGCUUUCCCUUUCUCUUCAGCAUUUACCACACUGCUGCUAUGCUACAAUUUAUAUAGUGUUGUCCAUUAUCUUCCCUUCCCUAGAAUACAAGUCCCAUGAGGUCAGGGAGUUUGUUUUAUUCACUGAUGAAUUCUUAGGAACGUUCUGGGACAAAAUAGACAUGGGAUAAUAUUUACUUAAGUGCAUGAAUGAAUGGGUGAAGUAGAUCUUGCCUUCAAAAAACUACAGAUUAAGGGCGACAAGCCUGCAACAAAGCCUGGAUUAAACCGAAAAAGAGGCAAAGUGACAUCAGUUGGAAGAGGAUAAAACAUUUGAUUGAGGUGGGGGAGGGGGAAAGCUUCCUGGAGGAGGCCACUCUGGUCCUGAAUGGUGAUGAUGGUCAGUUUCCUAAAGAGUAAGUAGAGUGCAGGGGUCGGGAUGGGCAGAGUAGGGAAACAUUUUGGAACAGGAUGACAAUGCGGCUAGAAACAGAGGAGGAUGUUUGUGUGGUGAGGUCUGAGAAUUCAGAAUAUCUGCUGUAAAGAGGCCACAGUAUGUGCAGAGUGACUGUACUGACAUGUGAGACUGAAAAAGCAGUCUGAAGAUAAAUUAAUUUGGGGAGAGCUUAAAUGCCAAGCUAUGGACACCCAAUGUUCUUCUAGGGGCUGCAUUUUCUUUUCAUGAAAUACUAAGAGUUGUCAUGCAAAAAAAAAAAAAAAUUGUACUCAAAAACAUUGGGGAAAUGUUGAAUUUCAAAAAAGAAUUUCAAAAGUUUCUUUGUAGUUGACUUCUCAGAGUCUUUACUAUGGUAAUGGGCAUUUCAAGGCUCCAAGAGAGAUAUAUAAAACAAUGAAGAAUUUGUCAAACUUUCUUUUAACCGUAGAUCCCCUGGAGGAGGUUAUGGCAAUCCACUGCAGUAUU